rnacentral:rRNA from 1 species
UGCAGUCGAGGGGUAACAGGGAAGCUUGCUUCCGCUGACGACCGGCGAACGGGUGAGUAACACGUAUGCAACCUACCUCUAACUGGGGAAUAGCUCAUAGAAAUGUGAAUUAAUACCCCAUAAUAUAUAUUUUAGACAUCUUUGAUAUAUUAAAGCUCCGGCGGUUAGAGAUGGGCAUGCGGGACAUUAGCUUGUUGGUGAAGUAAUAGCUCACCAAGGCUACGAUGUCUAGGGGGUCUGAGAGGACUAUCCCCCACACUGGUACUGAGACACGGACCAGACUCCUACGGGAGGCAGCAGUGAGGAAUAUUGCGCAAUGGAGGAAACUCUGACGCAGCCAUGCCGCGUGCAGGAUUAAGGCCCUAUGGGUUGUAAACUGCUUUUAUACGGGAAGAACUAUAUCUACGUGUAGAUAUUUGACGGUACCGUACGAAUAAGGAUCGGCUAACUCCGUGCCAGCAGCCGCGGUAAUACGGAGGAUCCAAGCGUUAUCCGGAUUUAUUGGGUUUAAAGGGUCCGCAGGCGGAAAAUUAAGUCAGUGGUGAAAUCCUACAGCUUAACUGUAGAACUGCCAUUGAUACUGGUAUUCUUGAGUGCACCUGAAGUGGGCGGAAUGUGUCAUGUAGCGGUGAAAUGCUUAGAGAUGACACAGAACACCAAUUGCGAAGGCAGCUCACUAAAGUGUAACUGACGCUGAGGGACGAAAGCGUGGGUAGCGAACAGGAUUA